UACGAGGGGGGGCGAGCGUUGUUCGGAAUUAUUGGGCGUAAAGGGUGCGUAGGCGGUUUGGUAAGUCUGAUGUGAAAUCUAUGGGCUCAACUCAUAGUCUGCAUCGGAAACUGCCGGGCUUGAGUGUGGGAGAGGUGAGUGGAAUUCCUGGUGUAGCGGUGAAAUGCGUAGAUAUCAGGAGGAACGCCUGUGGCGAAAGCGGCUCACUGGACCAUAACUGACGCUGAUGCACGAAAGCUAGGGGAGCAAACAGG
rnacentral:rRNA from 1 species